GUCUGGGGAUCUGCCUGAGGGAGGGGGAUAACUACUGGAAACGGUAGCUAAUACCGCAUGAUGUUACGCGACCAAAGCGGGGGACCUCCGGGCCUCGCGCCAUCAGAUGAACCCAGAUGGGAUUAGCUAGGGGGAGAGGUAAGGGCUCCCCUAGGCGACGAUCCCUAGCUGGUCUGAGAGGAUAACCAGCCACACUGGAACUGAGAGACGGUCCAGACUCCUACGGGAGGCAGCAGUGGGGAAUAUUGCACAAUGGGCGCAAGCCUGAUGCAGCCAUGCCGCGUGUGUGAAGAAGGCCUUCGGGUU
rnacentral:rRNA from 1 species